rnacentral:rRNA from 1 species
UACGAGAGGCCCAAACGUUAUUCGGAAUUACUGGGCUUAAAGAGUUCGUAGGCGGCGCAGUAAGUAGGGUGUGAAAGCCCUCGGCUCAACCGAGGAAUUGCGCUCUAAACUACUGUGCUUGAGGGACCUAGAGGUGAGCGGAACUGAUGGUGGAGCGGUGAAAUGCGUUGAUAUCAUCAGGAACACCGGAGGCGAAGGCGGCUCACUGGGGGUCUUCUGACGCUGAGGAACGAAAGCCAGGGGAGCGAACGGG